CUUAGCUGCUUUCAAAUACUGAAUUAGAUUUCUAACAUUAAGUAUACACGAAUCCAUUUCUUAAGUAGGUAUUUUAAAAAAUCUUGAUGUCAAAAAAAUCAGUUUUUCUCUGUUGAAGAAAAAAAAAUCAAGUUAUCUCUUAAUAUUCAAGGUAAGGCCUCUACAAACAAGCAACUGUGUCUUAACACGUCACUGUUAGCUAGUUCACUCCUCUUAUCUUAGAGAUAUCUAAGAGAUAAGACAGAGGC
rnacentral:lncRNA from 1 species